rnacentral:rRNA from 1 species
CACGACAGGUUGAUGAACCGAACCUAGCGGCGAGCGAGCGGGAAGAGCUCAAAUUUAUAAUCUGGCACCUUCGGUGUCCGAGUUUGUAAUCUCUAGAAGUGUUUUCCGCGUUGGACCGCACACAAGUCUGUUGGAAUACAGCGGCAUAGUGGUGAAACCCCCGUAUAUGGUGCGGACGCCCAGCGCUUUGUGAUACACUUUCAAUGAGUCGAGUUGUUUGGGAAUGCAGCUCAAAUUGGGUGGUAAAUUCCAUCUAAAGCUAAAUAUUGGCGAGAGACCGAUAGCGAACAAGUACCGUGAGGGAAAGAUGAAAAGCACUUUGGAAAGAGAGUUAACAGUACGUGAAAUUGUUGGAAGGGAAACGCUUGAAGUCAGACUUGCUUGCCGGAGCUUGCUUCGGUUUGCAGGCCAGCAUCAGUUUUCCGGGGUGGAUAAUGACGGUUUGAAGGUAGCAGUCUCGGCUGUGUUAUAGCUUUCCGUUGGAUACAUCCUGGGGGACUGAGGAACGCAGCGUGCUUUUUGCGAAAGACUCGUCUUUUUCACGCUUAGGAUGCUGGUGGAAUGGCUUUAAACGACCCGUCUUGAAACACGGACCAAAACCCCCAAAAAACAAAACAAAAGUUAAACGAGUCGGGUUUGUCAUUUUUUAAUUUUUCUUUU